rnacentral:lncRNA from 1 species
AAGACCCUGCAACCAAUUGCAAAUGUAAAUAGGACUACCGGUAUCCAAUACCUAGGUCAUUAUAUCAAAAAGAGAGAAGUUAAAAGAUGUUAUCACAUAAGUACCUUGUCCAGCAACCGAUUGCUGCUUCGUCUUUGGCUUGCUCGGAUCAGAAAAAGUAAUAUACUGAGAAUAAUUUCUCUUCCAGUGAUCCUGCUUCUUGCAAAAGAAGCACUUUGUCUAACUUUGAUCAGCCUUG